rnacentral:tRNA from 1 species
GCCUGGAUAGUUUAGUGGUAAAACAAACCCUUGGUAAGGGUUAGAGUGCGGGUUCGAUUCCCGCUCCAGGCU